rnacentral:rRNA from 1 species
GACGAACGCUGGCGGCGUGCCUAAUACAUGCAAGUAGAACGCUGAAGGAGGAGCUUGCUUCUCUGGAUGAGUUGCGAACGGGUGAGUAACGCGUAGGUAACCUGCCUGGUAGCGGGGGAUAACUAUUGGAAACGAUAGCUAAUACCGCAUAAGAGUAGAUGUUGCAUGACAUUUGCUUAAAAGGUGCAAUUGCAUCACUACCAGAUGGACCUGCGUUGUAUUAGCUAGUUGGUGGGGUAACGGCUCACCAAGGCGACGAUACAUAGCCGACCUGAGAGGGUGAUCGGCCACACUGGGACUGAGACACGGCCCAGACUCCUACGGGAGGCAGCAGUAGGGAAUCUUCGGCAAUGGACGGAAGUCUGACCGAGCAACGCCGCGUGAGUGAAGAAGGUUUUCGGAUCGUAAAGCUCUGUUGUAAGAGAAGAACGAGUGUGAGAGUGGAAAGUUCACACUGUGACGGUAUCUUACCGGAAAGGGACGGCUAACUACGUG